rnacentral:lncRNA from 1 species
UGGGUGUGUACUCGAGUACUGGUUCAUAAUUGGAUUGGGUUAGCUUAUUUAUUUUAAAGAAAAAAGUUUAUUCUUCCUCACUCAUUUUUUUUUGCGAAAGUCUGUUUUUCCUUCCUAAACUCAAAAAUCGGGUAAACCAUCUUCCUCAACUUUUAAAACAAUACGUUUUACCUCCCAGGCCCGGUUAUAAGCAGAUUUUAAAGGCGAUUUUGUCUUUUUUUUUAAUUUAUUUUGGCUGAAUCUUUAAAAAAUUAUAGUAUAUCAUCAAAUAGAAAAUCUAAUUUUGUUGACCUCCACAUGAGUAGAUCUACAUAGUGAACAUAUAAUAUGGUAUGCUUUAGUAUAAAGUUUUUGCUAUAGAUUUUGAUCUAUUCUUUUCUGUAAUUAAUUGAAAUAAUUCAUAACCACAGUUUCUAUGGUCCAAUUGUGGUA